GAUGAACGCUAGCUACAGGCUUAACACAUGCAAGUCGAGGGGAAACGACAUCGAAAGCUUGCUUUUGAUGGGCGUCGACCGGCGCACGGGUGAGUAACGCGUAUCCAACCUGCCCAUCACUUGGGAAUAACCUUGCGAAAGUAAGACUAAUACCCAAUGACAUCCCACGAAGACAUCUGAAUGGGAUUAAAGAUUUAUCGGUGAUGGAUGGGGAUGCGUCUGAUUAGCUUGUUGGCGGGGUAACGGCCCACCAAGGCAACGAUCAGUAGGGGUUCUGAGAGGAAGGUCCCCCACAUUGGAACUGAGACACGGUCCAAACUCCUACGGGAGGCAGCAGUGAGGAAUAUUGAUCAAUGGGCGAGAGCCUGAACCAGCCAAGUAGCGUGCAGGAUGACGGCCCUAUGGGUUGUAAACUGCUUUUAUAAGGGAAUAAAGUGGGUCUCGUGAGACUUUUUGCAUGUACCUUAUGAAUAAGGACCGGCUAACUCCGUG
rnacentral:rRNA from 1 species